rnacentral:rRNA from 1 species
GGAGGGUGCAAGCGUUAAUCGGAAUUACUGGGCGUAAAGCGCACGCAGGCGGUCUGUCAAGUCGGAUGUGAAAUCCCCGGGCUUAACCUGGGAACUGCAUUCGAAACUGGCAGGCUAGAGUCUUGUAGAGGGGGGUAGAAUUCCAGGUGUAGCGGUGAAAUGCGUAGAGAUCUGGAGGAAUACCGGUGGCGAAGGCGGCCCCCUGGACAAAGACUGACGCUCAGGUGCGAAAGCGUGGGGAGCAAACAGGAUUAGAUACCCUGGUAGUCCACGCUGUAAACGAUGAAUGUUAAAUAUGGGGAGUUUACUUUCUGUAUUACAGCUAACGCGUUAAACAUUCCGCCUGGGGACUACGGUCGCAAGAUUAAAACUCAAAGGAAUUGACGGGGACCCGCACAAGCGGUGGAGCAUGUGGUUUAAUUCGAUGCAACGCGAAAAACCUUACCACUCCUUGACAUGGAAAUUAUACCUAUUCGAAGGGAUAGGGUCGGUUCGGCCGGGUUUCACACAGGUGU